CAACUCAGUCCACAGAUUCGAUGAUAAUUAAAACUAAACAGGGCAGCAUGUUUACCUACUGGAACUGGGAAGUAAAUCCUGAAGAGUACAAAGAAAGAGAGGUUGGAAAAUAGGUCUGUACUUCUUAAAAGUGUAUAGAGUAAGGGGCUAUUGCAGAAGAAAGCUAUGGCAACUGGACUAGGAAUGAAGACUGUUACUUUUGAAAGUGAAGAUGCCGUCUUCCUAAUCACAAACUCACACAGAAGACAAAAGAAAUAACAUUUGUGAUGCUACUAUUGUGGGAGCUUGGUAAAUGCCCACUGAAAUGCUAAAAUAUUCCUUGCUGUGGGCCAGGCAUACAAUGGCCACCCAAGAUAAAUGCCCAUAAACACCAUAGCAGGGCAGGAGGAAGCCCAUGCCUUGGGCCAGCCCACCACCUUAUAUAUUGUCUCACAGAGCUAUUCAAAUGGAGCCUAACCUAGGAUCAUUUAUGGUUACAUACAACUACUUGAUUUGUUCUGUACCACAGCAUCUAAAAGUAUAAUCAAUGAAACUAUAUUCAAAAUUUUUCUGAUAAAAGUCUGUUACUUCAGCAAAUAUACUUGCUUCAUGAAUGUGUAGUUUUAUUCCAGAUCUCAAAAGACACACAAUGAAAAUUUUCACAGGAUGCAAAUUUUCCAUCUUGACAAAUCAGUGAUAUUCCUUUCUCUUUCCCAAAACUGGUAACAUGAGUAAAGCCCAGAAAACCUCAUUAGAUCUUUGUGUUUGCCCUGCAUUCUAUUCUGUUCCUUCAUCCUUGCAGACCUCCAGUCAAUGGUUAUUCACCAGGCACUUAGAAUGUGCCAGAGCAGGACUGGCCCCAGAAAUAUAAAACCCAACAGGACUUAACUCAGUG